rnacentral:misc_RNA from 1 species
GAAAUGCGAUACGUAAUGCGAAUUGCAGAAUUCAGUGAAUCAUCAAAUCUUUGAACGCAAAUGGCGCUCUCGGGAAUCCCUGGGAGCACGCCUCUUUGAGUAUCAGUUCUACCUCAUCUCGACAGCGUGCUGAAAAGCAAAGUGCGUCGGAUAAUGAGUGUCUCAGUUCUUCGGACUGCGUCACUUUAAAUACAGAGAUAAGUUUGGCUUACCCAUUUCAAUUGGGGGCUGACGCAAGAUAAUUCACUCGCAAGAGUGUUUAACAACCUUCGUCACCUCUGAGGGCUAGUUUUAAACUUUGAUCAAAACAACCUUUUUCAGAAUAAGAUCUCAAAUGAAGCGAGAUUACCCGCCGAAUUUAA